CUGUGUCCUGCCACUGGUUGCCUGGGAGAAGAGCCCAACUUGCACCUGGCUACAACCUCCUUUCAGGUAAUUUUAGAGAGAAAUAAGGUCCUCCCUGAGCGUCCUCUUCAAGGUGUCCUGCUCCGGUGGGCCUGGCAGCCACCACUGAUAGCAAACAGAUAAGGGGAAGGAGACUGAGGAAGUAUUUAGCACUAUGUCCGCUCAUGAAUGCUUGUUUGCUUCCAGGAGUAAAUCCAAAACACACAAAAGCAGCACUGUCAACAUAAAUCUUAUUUUAAAAAAAUAAAGAAACUGAUAAUAUUUUCCAGUGCUUUUAAAUUCAAAGGCUUUUUCCACAUAUUUUUUUGCCAUUCAUUUCAACAGCAGGUAGAAUCAGUUUCAGUUCUCACUCAGCUUUUGUGAAGCACUUGGACAAUACUAUUGUUGCACAACAUCACAGGUGAAUUCUAAUGUCCCAUUACAGAGCAUUAUGAAAUAUGAAUGUUGGUAAAGAUACCAUUGCCCAUUUUGAUCAGAAUAAUCAGAGAUGUAAACUCAUUUAAUUCAGGCAUGUACACAUCCCUUUUGUCACCAGAAAAAGCCCAACACCUGCACACAGGACCUACAAAGUCUCUAUAUUGGCUUUAGAAAGAAGUUUGUCUUUUAAAAAAACUUUUGCGGGUAUUUUUCAAAUAACAUUAUUUCAUUAUUUAAUUCUAUUGAACCAAAAGUGUGUUCAAGUUGAAAGUUGAAAAGCAGCUCAUUUUGAAAGAGAAUCCCGUCAAACUUGGAGACUCCAUUCCGUUAUCCAAGCCCUCCGUAAGUUGUGCAUGUGUGAGUGUAUCUUUGAUCAAAGUUUCUGAAUUUCAGCUAUCAUAGCAGAAAUGCCAGGAGGGAUAAACAGAUAAAUAUUUUUACGCAAGUGAUUAGUACACAUGAAUGGAGCCAGACUGAAACAAAUGGGAUUUGAAUCUCUAUAGAUAAGAUAAAAAUGCACAUACUGUAUUUUUGUACCACUGCAUGUUAAUCUGGAAAGAUAACUCCUGGACAGGAAUGGAUUGCAAAGGCCUGAAUGGAAACUGAACUAUUGGUAGAAGAUGCCACCUAACACCGCCAGGUCCUGGCACCGGGAACUCGAUGAGGCCACCUAUGCAUUGCUCUCAUGUCAACUAGAUGAGGUCAGAGACUCCCUUCUGCCUCCAGCUGACCUCAGCCAAUUCCAGCUGGCAACCCAGCGGCCCCAUGUCCUGCAGCCUCCUUGACGGGCUGUAUGAAAUGCUAAACAAUUACAAGUUCAUAUCCUCACUUUUUUUUUUUUUUUUAUUCCAGAUCACCAGAUACCUAAAAGCCACUUCUUUCCCGUCCAAACAUAGUAUUUAAAGGUCAAGAUGAAACUCUUGUUUCCCAUAUCACAGAUUGACCUUUCCAAGGGCAGUAGCAGACAAAGUUCAUUUAGUCUCCCUCUUUCUCUCUUGAGGAUCUUGUUUUUUGGAUCCUGCUCCAGCUGGACACUGCAAGAGCUAAAGUCUAGCAAGCUUCUAGGCACAGUACAAGACAUUUAUUUAGUUUAAUGAGACACUUUUUAUUCCUGAAAUUACAGACACCAUGGUUGCUUACAUGCAUGAAUGCAGCUAGAGUGGCUUUUACUGCUCCUCUGUACAAUUUGUGUUUGCAAUGCUGACUACCUGGCAGCUAUGGCGGUGGACAUUCAUCACCUCUAUAGAGUUUAAACUUUUCUUGGUUUUUGAUUGAAAAUACACUCAUCUACAUUUCUUCAACCGCAAUAGUUAAAGAAAUUGUCUUUAUGGGGCAAUUAAUCACAACAGCUACAGCAGGUUAAGCUCUCCUAUAAUUAAAUAUUUUGAAAUAAUUUCUGUGUAGAUAUUCUAUCCCACAGUAAAAAGGAACAGAAUUCUGGAUUAAUAAUUUUUGAACCAAACAGAUCAGUGGUAUUUUUUCCUGUUGCACUGAUAAAGUAUUAUUUUUCUGUUUCUUGUCCUAAGCUGUUGCUUCUAACAGGAUUUUAGCACUAACAGUUCAUUUCUUAACACUUUUAUAUUGCUUCAUCUUACUUUUUUCUCACCUAGCUGCUUUCUGCCCUGAACAAGUAAUACACCUGUGAGACAGAAGCCAUGCUGCUUUAGGCACCGAAGGUACUCAGCUUUGGCACCGAUUAGCCACCUGAAUUUGGGGCACACUGGAUACAUUUGUCAGAAAUUAUCUACUUAAAAUCUGGAUCAACAGCUAAACCCUUCAAACCUUCCUCUGCUGCUGUGACUCCCUAUCUUGGUCAUGUAAUACAACUGCCUGGAUGACUUUCCUGCUUAAUUUUAAAUGCUUCCAGCCAGAGCAGAAUUGGUCACUGCUAAAUCACUACCAAAAUAUAGAUUAAUCCAUGCCAUGAGCUGGGAGGUAUGAUCCCUAAUACACAAAAAAAGGGGCUGCCACCAAAGCUAAGGGACUUGCUUGGCCCCACACUUGCUUGGCAUUUUUCAGUACCACAGUGAGAAUUCAGAAGGGUUUAGGUCUUAGCCAGCCAUAGAUCUGUGCCAUCCCUUUCAGAAAGGUGAAAUCCCAGGUUAACUUAAAGAAUUUUGUGUGCAGCUGAACCUGCAUGUGGAAGGUAAGAAAUUGUGCUAAAUAACAGCUCCUUCGCAGUUAUAUUCAAGAUGGCAGAAGCUGAGCAAAUUCAAGUCCUUUGAUAUUGUGUGCUGUAUCACGGCAAAAUAUUCUCCCCUGUCAGCAGUUAGCUGCUCUUAAGCCAGACACUAGAAAAGGCCAGCCUGCUUCUGCCAGUGUGUCACACAGCCCCUUCUGGAAAAACAAAACAGAAAAAAAAACCCCAAACCAACGAACACAAACAAACCCUCCAAACCAGUAUUUUCCAGGAUAUUGCUUAGCAGGACCUUUUUUCUUUUUUCUAUUUUGUAACUACACUACAAACUUCCACUCACCCUUAAAGAUUUCUGCCCCUUUCACUUGUUCCAUCUCCUUUCUGCAAUGAUUCCACUCAAGAGUUUGGGAGCCUGAUCCAAAAUUUGCCCUUUUGCUGCUUUUCAGGAGUCUGGGUUUGCAGAUGGGAGGACAGUAAUGGAAGCUGAGGAGGAAACCCUGGUUACUGUGAGCCAUCAGACUUUUUAUAGAUAAUGAAGAAGAGAAAGUGAAAACUCAUCUCCUGAGGUAUCUGAUACAGAACAGUUUCACUGGAGGAAGAAAUGAAAUAGACAAAGGCUCUUCAGGUUGGAAAAAAAAGAUGACUGCAGAGGGAAAUGAUGGCAGUGUGUAAAACGCUGAAUGGAGAAGGUAAAUGCAGAGUAAUUGUUCACUUUCUCUUGCAGUACAAAAGCUGAGGGGGCAUCCAACAAAGACGUUUAGCAGCAGGUUUAAAACAAACACACCCAAAAGGAAGUACUCUUUCCUAGCAUCCGUAAUUGCAUUGUGGCAGUCAGUGCCUCAGGAGGUUGUGGAGACUGAAAAUGGAUUUUAAAAGGCAUUAAACAAAUUCAUGUGGGAUCAACAGCAAAUAAACACUGUAGCUUUGGUGAAACUUUUGUGUUUUCAAACCCUUACCCAGAGCUGGGAGGAGGCACCAAGUCAAGAUGAUUCGGUAUGUGGCCUUUUCCUUCCUCCCUGAGUGCUGCUGGCUGUUCCUGGAAACAGCGUGGCAGUUCCUGUUGUUCUGUGCUGAGCCGUGAGCCCGGGUGUUGCACAUCACUAAGGAGCAGAAAACGUUCUCUGCAUUCUCCUGCCCGACUCUGUCUUCCAGCAGACUUCCUCAGAGGGCAGGAGAUGCUUCUGGGAGAGCUUUGCAAUCCAACCCUCCCCCAUUUUUCCCUAGAGCAACCACACUUAUAAUUGUGCAGAGAGAGAAUAUUGCAUUACCUCGGGUUAAACCAAGGAAAAUUUCGAUCCUAUGUUUUGGCAUUUAAUUGUAGCAUUUAGCUCAUAUUUAAAGGGUAAAAAAUGUAGCUGCCCUCAUUAUUGGUCAAAAUGCUCAUCAGUCCCCAAUAAUAAUUCAGGACUUUCUACAAAAAAAGAAAGACAAAGCAACCAAACAACUGGUCUCCAUAGACAAGUGAAAGUAACAAUUUACCUAAGACAGCAAGGAAAACCAAACAAACAAAAAGAAAAACCAGAAACUCCACCCUGAAGUCACUCAGUUUAAUUUUUAAAAAAUAAUAUCUGCAAUAAAAGAUUUUAUAUUCAACAUUCAUAUAAAGGACAAAAAUUUCCAAUUAUGAUUAUGCUCACCCUUUUAUUAAAAAUAAAAGGCUGUAAUAAUGCCAGUUCUCAUCCAAACAUUUUCAAACUUCAGUUA